rnacentral:lncRNA from 1 species
GUACGUUUUCCAGUAAUGACUCUCAAUGGAAAGAUAAUAUAUCUUUUUAUUUUUAGUUUUCCAUGAGUUUAUUCAUGAAUUGGCUUGAAUUUUGACAAAAAUUUUCUUGGUAUCUAUUAAGAAGUGUGUCUAGAUUGUCUCCUUCUGUCAAUAUGGUGAUUGUCUAACCUUUAGAUAUUAAUGCCAACAUGCACUCUUGAUAUCCCGACCCCCAGUUAGUGCAUCUAUUCCUCUUUUGUAUUGUUGGAUCUGAUUUGGUAGUACUUGUGACGAAUCCCUGAUAGAGAUUGGUCUGUAAUUUAUAUUUCUUGAUGACAUUUUCAGAUCUUAUAAAACUAGUUGUAAGGUAUUGCUUCUUGCUCUAUUUUCUGGACAGGUUGGUGCUCUACUCGGACCACUCUCGUCUUUUACUGACUGGAAGCAAGCACUCAAAGGCUGCAAGUGCAGGUGGCUGGCAGCUCUCAGCUAAGUUUCUCUCCAGGAACUGCCUUGGCCUUCAGGAGCCUCCUCCUCCUCAAGGCCUCAUGGGUGUGAUGUCUCAGGCUUUUGAGAGAUCACUUAUAACUAAGGAAAGCAGCAGACUAUUCAUCUCUGUUGUUGAACUCCUUCAUUUAUAAAGAUGUAUAAUAGUGUGGCAAAGAAGUAAACUCAUGUGAGAAUAUGUGUAACAUAAAUUAUAUAUUCCUAAAAACAACUACAUGCAUUAAUAUAGUGUGAUCACACAAGUAUGUCAUGUGUAUUUAUC